rnacentral:rRNA from 1 species
GACGAACGCUGGCGGCGUGCCUAAUACAUGCAAGUAGAACGCUGAAGGAGGAGCUUGCUCUUCUGGAUGAGUUGCGAACGGGUGAGUAACGCGUAGGUAACCUGCCUGGUAGCGGGGGAUAACUAUUGGAAACGAUAGCUAAUACCGCAUAACAGUAGAUGUUGCAUGACAUUUACUUAAAAGGUGCAAUUGCAUCACUACCAGAUGGACCUGCGUUGUAUUAGCUAGUUGGUGGGGUAACGGCUCACCAAGGCGACGAUACAUAGCCGACCUGAGAGGGUGAUCGGCCACACUGGGACUGAGACACGGCCCAGACUCCUACGGGAGGCAGCAGUAGGGAAUCUUCGGCAAUGGACGGAAGUCUGACCGAGCAACGCCGCGUGAGUGAAGAAGGUUUUCGGAUCGUAAAGCUCUGUUGUAAGAGAAGAACGAGUGUGAGAGUGGAAAGUUCACACUGUGACGGUAUCUUACCAGAAAGGGACGGCUAACUACAUG